GAUGAAGAACGUAGCGAAAUGCGAUAAGUAAUGUGAAUUGCAGAAUUCAGUGAAUCAUCGAAUCUUUGAACGCACCUUGCACUCCUUGGUAUUCCGAGGAGUACGCCUGUUCGAGUGUUAUGAAGCUCUCAAAACGCAAUUGGCUUAAAACCUGAUUGUUGUUUUGGAUUUGAACUUUGCCGUGUUAUAACGGCUGGUUUUAAAAGUAUUAGCUGGUACUAGAACGAAUUGGUUCUACUCAACGUGAUAAUUAUCUGAUCGUUGAGGACAUUCCUUUCACGAUGAAUGGCCAUAGUAAAUUCAAUGGACUGCUUCUAAUCUGGCUUUAAUUCUUUAUUGGAUUAACCACUUUUCAAAUCUGACCUCGAAUCAGGUGGGACUACCCGCUGAACUUAAGCAUAUCAAUAAGCGGAGGA
rnacentral:misc_RNA from 1 species